AUUGAACGCUGGCGGCAGGCCUAACACAUGCAAGUCGAACGAGUAGCGGACGGGUGAGUAAUGUCUGGGAAACUGCCUGAUGGAGGGGGAUAACUACUGGAAACGGUAGCUAAUACCGCAUACCAUCAGAUGUGCCCAGAUGGGAUUAGCUAGUUGGUGGGGUAACGGCUCACCAAGGCGACGAUCCAUAGCUGGUCUGAGAGGAUGACCACCCACCGUGGAACUGAGACACGGCCCAGACUCCUACGGGAGGCAGCAUUGGGGACUAUUGCACACUGGUCGCAAGCCUGAUGCAGCCAUGCCGCGUGUAUGAAGAAGGCCUUCGGGUUGUCAAGUACUUUCAGCGGGGAGGCGUUACCCGCAGAAGAAGCACCGGCUAACUCCGUGCCAGCAGCCGCGGUAAUUC
rnacentral:rRNA from 1 species